UACGGAGGGUGCAAGCGUUAUCCGGAUUCACUGGGCUUAAAGGGCGCGUAGGUGGGCAGGUAAGUCAGUGGUGAAAUCUCCGGGCUUAACCCGGAAACUGCCGUUGAUACUAUUUGUCUUGAAUAUUGUGGAGGUAAGCGGAAUAUGUCAUGUAGCGGUGAAAUGCUUAGAUAUGACAUAGAACACCAAUUGCGAAGGCAGCUUACUACACAACGAUUGACGCUGAGGCACGAAAGCGUGGGGAUCAAACAGG
rnacentral:rRNA from 1 species